UACAGAGGGUGCGAGCGUUGUCCGGAAUCAUUGGGCGUAAAGCGCGCGUAGGUGGCCUCAUAAGUCCGCUGUGAAAGUCAAAGGCUCAACCUUUGAAAGCCGGUGGAUACUGUGAGGCUAGAGUACGGAAGAGGCGAGUGGAAUUCCUGGUGUAGCGGUGGAAUGCGCAGAUAUCAGGAGGAACACCAAUAGCGAAGGCAGCUCGCUGGGACGUUACUGACACUGAGGCGCGAAAGCGUGGGGAGCGAACAGG
rnacentral:rRNA from 1 species